rnacentral:lncRNA from 1 species
UAAGUGAUCCUUGCUUAUGAAUACUGGCAUUCAAUGUGAACUUUGUUUUAAUUAUUUAGAUAGACAACCAGAAGACUUUUCAGAGUAAUUGUUGUGAUAAAUUUUUUAGCAUGUGAUAGAUGAGAUUCAUUUUUAUUUUUUUAGUACUAAAAUUUGUAUCAAAUCCCUUAGAUUCAAGUAAUUCAAGCGAACUUGUUAUGGUCUAUCAUAACAGUUACCUAUUUUUUUUUUUAUCAUCAUCUGAAUACUUUCUUCUAAUUUUGAUUGUAAUGUUUCAGUAAUUUCAUAAAUAACAAGGUUAGCAUACUUAACUGAUGUUGGGUAUGGACUGACAGACCCCAUUAGAUUGCUUUGCCGGAGGUCAAUCCCUUGAAGUCGGUGAUAAUACAAAUAUGAUAUCUAACAGUGCAGAUCAUCAAAGGCGAAGGUGUGGCUGCUGUCUAUGAUAAUUUGUUGCAUGUAUUUUCCAUGUACUUUCAAGUUCUGGAUACUGGUUAUAUAUUGUUGCAUCAGGUGGUAGCACAUUUUCAGGAAUUUGGCUCAUCAGUGCCGCUGUCAAGUUAAUUAUCAUAAUUUGUCAUCGGAUGGUUAACUGCUUGUGACAGGCGGGUAUGAUAAAAAGGCGGGGGAUGCAUUCCCAUAGAGCUUGUGCGAAAACAGUUAGAAAACACCAUUAUUUGUGAAGUUAGUGAAUUUUAAAUUUUUUAUUCCCCUAAACACCAUGUGAAUGUUUCUUGA